rnacentral:rRNA from 1 species
CAGUCGCCACGGGAAUACGAAGGGGGCUAGCGUUGUUCGGAUUUACUGGGCGUAAAGGGCGCGUAGGCGGACUGAUAAGUCAGGGGUGAAAUCCCAAGGCUCAACCUUGGAACUGCCUUUGAUACUGUUUGUCUUGAGUUCGAGAGAGGUAAGUGGAACUGCGAGUGUAGAGGUGAAAUUCGUAGAUAUUCGCAAGAACACCAGUGGCGAAGGCGGCUUACUGGCUCGAAACUGACGCUGAGGCGCGAAAGCGUGGGGAGCAAACAGGAUUAGAUACCCCUGUAGUCCCUGUCUCUUAUAC